AAAAAAAGAAAAAAGAAAAAUUGAACAUCCUCCUAUCGCGUGAAGCCCGCAACAGCGAUAGGGUCGUAGUGAGUCACUGCUUGAAUCGCCGAUCUACAUCUGUCGCUCUUCAGAUCCAUCACCAUUACCGCUCCGCAAUUAUCGUUUUUUUUUUUUUAAAGGGAGAAAAAAUUGGAGCAAAAAUUAAAAAAACCUAGAGAGAGUGUGGAUAGACGGAGAUUAUAGCUGUGUGUAUAUGUUUUGAACGUUGGGAUCGGGAGGGUAAAAUUGGGGUUUUGUCAAAGUUUUGCCUCGAUUUGGCUUUUUCCUCUAUUUCU
rnacentral:misc_RNA from 1 species